GCGUGCGGGAAGAAGGCCUUCGGGUUGUAAACCGCUUUUGUCAGGGAAGAAACGUUCUGGGUUAAUACCCUGGAGUAAUGACGGUACCUGAAGAAUAAGCACCGGCUAACUACGUGCCAGCAGCCGCGGUAAUACGUAGGGUGCGAGCGUUAAUCGGAAUUACUGGGCGUAAAGCGUGCGCAGGCGGUCAUGCAAGACAGAUGUGAAAUCCCCGGGCUCAACCUGGGAACUGCAUUUGUGACUGCAUGACUAGAGUACGGCAGAGGGGGAUGGAAUUCCGCGUGUAGCAGUGAAAUGCGU
rnacentral:rRNA from 1 species